rnacentral:lncRNA from 1 species
UAAUUUGAUAAAAUUUUAAUUUUAAUUUUAACAGAGUUUAACUCUGUUAAUAAAUUCAAAAACCAAAUUAGAAUUUUUUUUAUUAAUUAAAUCACUUGACUGCAUUGACUAAUAAAAAAUAAACAGAAAGAAUAAUAGUUAUCAAACAGCAUUAAUUUACUUUUGGAAAUGCAGAGUUAAACUUAUAAAUUAUGGCAAUUCCCGGGGGUAUUAGUAAUUUUCCCUGAAAAAGAAAAUGCUAUGUUUACAAAUAUGAUGCUAUAAACAGGACCACAUCCGUGAAAAGGGUAUGACUUUUUUGUGCAAUUGUAGAUUAUAAUAGCAACCCAUGUGGCAUAUGUAAGGUCACUUUCGUCCUGUUUUUUUUUUCAUUUUUCCUAUUGAUCCUCGAAAACCAUCCA